UUGAAAUUAAGCCGUUAAAAUAUAUAUUCUAUUAUUUAUGAAAAUAGUUAUAAAAGUUGAAUUUUGAAUGUUUUGAGUCGAGUGAAAAAUACGAUAAUUUGAAAUAUAAAAGCUUUCCAUGUUUACCAGUUCGUAUUCACACAUUUACAAAACAUUCAAUAAGCAGAUUGCUGUCUCUGAAGUAAACAGUUUACUGGGAUCUGUUUAGGACGCUGAAGCGAAUUAUUGGAUUUUUUUUCGAGAUAUUAAAAGAAGAAUCUGAAAUUUUAAAUUGCGUUAUUUGCAAAAUUCCUUGAAUUUGCUUUUAUGGAAAGGCAUUAUUGGGCCCCUUAUUACCUGCAGCUUCAAAAAUAGAUGAAAUCUGACAUAAAUUUUGACGUAAUGUAAGGGCCAAUAUUUGGACGUUUAUGACCUUAUGUGGCGUAAUUAAGAGAGGAAAAGAAAUCAUGUCUGAUUUGAAAGUUUGUUGCAAUCCUUUGAAUUUGCUACGCCAUAAUUGUCAGAGGCGAGAUAUCUCGAAAAUAGAUCCAAUAUGGAAGAUUAAAUUUUCAAAUAUCGGAGAAUAUAUUUGCAUUUACUGUCGCUUGUUAAUAACAAGGGUAUACCUGAGACGUACACCUGAGAAUAAUAGUGAUGUAAGUAUAAAGCAAUGCACAGUAAAAAUCGUAAAAUGUGAAUUGUAAAUUUUUUCACGAGGUAGAAAAGGAAAAGCUAUAUUUCUUUCUUUUUCUUUCUUUUGUACGCUACCAUACCGGGUCGGUCAUUGUGCGAUCCCUAAUAUUUUUUUAAUGACUAUUAAAUACAGGGUU